rnacentral:lncRNA from 1 species
CUGCAAACCUGUGUCAGUUGUGGACAUUAGAAAUCCCAGGAUCCCAGGAGAGCCUGUGCUGGCCUGAAGGUUCCUGGAUCCUGCCUACUUUUAACCCAUUGUUUAACUGACCUGAUGAUGGAACAGAAAUGAGAAAUUGGUCCUGGGCCUUGUUGCUUCUAAGGGAAUGAAGAAGACAUGGAAUAGUAAUAAUGUAGUAAACUGCAGCUUCUAGCAUCAUAAUUGAUAAA